rnacentral:rRNA from 1 species
CGUACACUCCUGCGGGAGGCAGCAGUGGGGAAUUUUGGACAAUGGGCGAAAGCCUGAUCCAGCCAUGCCGCGUGCAGGAUGAAGGCCUUCGGGUUGUAAACUGCUUUUGUACGGAACGAAACGGCCUUUUCUAAUAAAGAGGGCUAAUGACGGUACCGUAAGAAUAAGCACCGGCUAACUACGUGCCAGCAGCCGCGGUAAUACGUAGGGUGCAAGCGUUAAUCGGAAUUACUGGGCGUAAAGCGUGCGCAGGCGGUUAUGUAAGACAGUUGUGAAAUCCCCGGGCUCAACCUGGGAACUGCAUCUGCGACUGCAUAGCUAGAGUACGGUAGAGGGGGAUGGAAUUCCGCGUGUAGCAGUGAAAUGCGUAGAUAUGCGGAGGAACACCGAUGGCGAAGGCAAUCCCCUGGACCUGUACUGACGCUCAUGCACGAAAGCGUGGGGAGCAAACAGGAUUAGAAACCCUAGUAGUCCCA